rnacentral:rRNA from 1 species
GACGAACGCUGGCGGCGUGCUUAACACAUGCAAGUCGAACGGAAAGGCCCUGCUUUUGUGGGGUGCUCGAGUGGCGAACGGGUGAGUAACACGUGAGUAACCUGCCCUUGACUUUGGGAUAACUUCAGGAAACUGGGGCUAAUACCGGAUAGGAGCUCCUGCUGCAUGGUGGGGGUUGGAAAGUUUCGGCGGUUGGGGAUGGACUCGCGGCUUGUCAGCUUGUUGGUGGGGUAGUGGCUUACCAAGGCUUUGACGGGUAGCCGGCCUGAGAGGGCGACCGGCCACAUUGGGACUGAGAUACGGCCCAGACUCCUACGGGAGGCAGCAGUGGGGAAUAUUGCACAAUGGGCGGAAGCCUGAUGCAGCAACGCCGCGUGCGGGAUGACGGCCUUCGGGUUGUAAACCGCUUUCGCCUGUGACGAAGCGUGAGUGACGGUAAUGGGUAAAGAAGCACCGGCUAACUACGUG